rnacentral:lncRNA from 1 species
UAAUGAUAUUAAAGAAUAAAAUAAAAUUGUUUAAAUAAUAAUAAACAUUUUUAUCUAAUUAAAUUUUUUUUCUUAGGAACUGUACAGAAAAAGCAAAGCAACUUUCUUCCAACGAGCAAUAAAAAAGUAGUUAAAAAUGUUUGUUUUUUGUUUUAUGUUUUAUCACUGGCGUGGAUAUGAAAAGAACUGAUGGCAAAGCUGUUUAGUAAAAUUUUUAACCCAGUUUUUUUUUUUUAUUUAGCAAAUAUAAACCAACCGUAAACAAUUUUAAAAUUUAUCCAUUUUUUCUUAAAACAAAAAAAAAAACACACCUUAGCUAUUUUGAAGUUUUUGUGCAGGUGAAAGCGUGUUUAGAAGAAACAAAAUACUAGUUUAACAAGGAAUAAGAACCCAACAUAGAUACACAAUGUAACGCAUUGAAAACAGAAAAACGUAUUUACAAGAAAAGUAGUUUUUUAAAACAAGAAGGAAAUUAGUAAUAAAAUAAUUAAAAGAAAAAGAAGCGAAAAUAGAGUAUUUGAAAAACAGAAAAAAAAAACACAACAACUGGCGAAAUAAAAUAAAAAUAAAAUAAAAAACAAAAAAAUGUAGUGAACAAGUAAGAAAACCCAGCAAAAGCUAUAAAGCGAGCAGUAAAACUUAAGUAAAUUAAAUAAAAAAUAAAGAAGAAAGUAGUUUUAUAUGAAAGUUGAAACCAAGAAAAUAGAAAAAAAUUUAAAUACUUAUAGUAUUAAGGACAAAACUGAAAUGAAAAAGAAAAUCAAGCAACAACAAGUAAACACACUAAAAACACAAUCAGUCACACCAACAAACACACCUACACACACUUAUCAUAUUAAGUGAAUAUGUAUGUACAGCGAAAGCGAGAUGCGUUAAUUGAAAUGAUGAGUUAUUAUUUACAUUGAGAAUUGUAGCAAAAACAAUAAAAGAAAAACGCCUACGAAAUAGUUGCGUAAUGCCACAACAACAACAUAGAAACUACAAUAGUUGCAGCAUUGAAAGUGCACACAAAAGGAAAUUGCAGAAAAUAAAACAGAAACAUCUGGAAAAAUUGGUGUCAAUAUUUUUAGCAAAUUAGUUGAACUUUUAUUUUCCAUUUUUUUUUUGCUUAAAAGUAUUUGUUGUAAUUUUUAAUUGAAUUAAAAUAAAUCUUAAUAUGAAAGUACAUAUUUAUAUGUAUGCUUUUGUGUUGUUAAUUACUGUUUGUAUUUGUGAUUUUAUUUUCAAAUAAAAAUAUAAUAAAAUAUCUACAAAAAAUUAAGUGAAAGGUAUGCUGAGCAGCAAUUAAAAGUGUCAAAUACAUACACACGUGCAGACGAAAGGGAUCAUAGGACAUACGAAACACUGAGGCUUUUCCUUUUACCCGUUGUUUAUUUUUUAUUUAUAUCUUAAUUUGUUGCACAUUAAAGGUAUUUGUUGUAAAUGAUAAUAGUGCAAGCAUACUUCCUCAUUUAAGAUUCGUGGAAUUUUUUUAUGUGGGUAAUCGAAGAAUUCCUUACAGCAGGCAACCCCACCUUUAAUGUUUUGUUUAUAUUUUUCAAAUCAUCGAGCGGAAAUGUUUUCUUAUCGCGAUCCGAUAAGAUUAAGGAAUCACGCACAGCCGGAAGAGUAUGAAAAUAUUAUAUUGUCUUUGGCAGUAUCGAUACCGAAAGUUACAAGUAUACGAUUUUCAGAAAUAAUGUCGGUAACCGAUUCAUAAAAGUAUCUAUACUGAGUACUCAAAACAUAUCGAAGUACUAGGCACUUAAAAGUUCUCCAUAUCGAUUCCGAAGAGAUACUCAAAAGUACUCAGUGCUAAAUAUUUGAACGAUAUUGGUAGCCAAGGUUAUUCAAAUUCAAAAAUGCUUAGAUGUAUGAUGUCUAAUGCAAAAAAAAAACACUAACACUAGAUACUUCACGCGUGUAUUAACUACUUAAAAAGUAGAUGGACAAGCUAUUUAAAUCGAGUGUCAGCUUUGUCCUCUUAAUAUUUUUUUUUUAAAUCCGAAUAAUUUUUAAUCCAUUAGUUUAAAAGCAUCUGUUUAAAAUAUCCGAUACUAAAAAAUGAUUCUCAAGAGUCGAUAACCAAGUACCCGAUCUUCAAAACAACUCAAUAUAUACUGCCCAGCACUAGAAAAUUUGUGAAAACUGGAACUUAAAUACAUAUUAGUUUGUUUAAUUUCCAAUUAAAUUAAAAUGUAAAGGUAGGAUCCCACUAUCGGCGCAAAUAGCACAAUAUGUACCGAUUUUCAUCGUGCUUGAUUGAUACAUAUUAAAAAAUUUUGUAUAACUAUUUUUUGAGUGGUCCCCCCCAUUAUCAUCGCAUUUGUUACAAUAUUUUUCGGUGCAUAUCGGCCAAACUAUACAAACACAGUAUCGUGGUUCAUUAAUAAUAACAAUAAACAAAUUUUCGACUUUGCUCGGGGCAUGAGCCGCAUUUUUUAUAAUUUCGCUACAGCAAUAUUAGUUUUGGUUGUUUACACUCAGCACAAUUUCGACCCAGAUACACACUAAUGGUAUAUGAAAUGCGCCAAAAAUCGGCACAUUGCUUCGAUAAUGGGAUCUUAGCUUAAAACUUUGAAGACUAAAAUUCGUCUGCCCUGCAAUAAUUUCGCAUUCGGUUCAUUUGAUUGACAAUUAAUCACAUUUUGCUUUUCUUCAUGCGACACACAGGGAUAAGAAAAUCAUGGCGGUCGUUUAAGGCAUAAGGUAUCACAAAUUAUUUUCAGUUUCAGACAAAAAAUAUUCUCGUCGAAAUUCUAUUACUAAAAACAGGCGAUGGAAGAUUCUGGUUUGGAACUUCUAUGCUGUUUUCUUGAUCAAACCUAAUGUUAAUAAAAUAAAUAUGGACCAAAAAAUACAGAUACUUUGAAGUGAGCACGAUUAUUUCAAUGAUAUUCGAAAUUGUUCAGGAAAAAUGAGUAGGAAGUCGAGCUUCUAAAAAAUCAGCACAUUUUUCUCCAAAGACAGUGAGCACUUUGUAAUCGGCCCUAUCGCGAAUUUCACAUGAACAUAUAUUCACAAAAAUUAUAAAGCAAAACAAAAACAAUUUUUCCCAAUUUGUUUUUGUUUUGCGCGUUAAAUUAUGGGAACAAUUUAUUCACAUGAAAUUGGCGAUACCGCAUAUAAGUAUUUCAAUUCGCUUUUGAAGACAAUUUCAUAGAUGAGUGGCGGCAUAGGCAUCGAAUCAAUUUAAUUUUUGAGGGCAGUAUUUGAGCAAGCGGUUUCGAAACUUAUAGCAAAAAUGCAAUUGAUAGAGUUCUAAUUGAUCAAUACAACGCGAGCAAUAGCCUCAAUAUUUUCUCCGAUGACUCACAAAUAAUUUUCAUUAAAUUUAUUCCCAGGAAAGAAAGGCGAGCUUCAAAAGUAAAAGCAGAAGAAUACUUAAAUACUUCAUCCAGAAAUAAACUUUAGCGUAAUCUUGAAGCAACUUGAACUAAUGCCGAAGCAAAUUCUCAACAAAUUUCAUUAUUUUUUGAUUAAUUAUUUAGGGUCCCAUAUUCAAAUACAUAUUUAAAAUGUAUACAUAUGACUUACCUGAAAGGGAAUAACUUCACAGAAAUAUUGUCAGAUAGGUGGCGCUCCACAAAAAAUUUUGCCUUUAGCUGAUGCGGGGUCCUUUUUUAAUAAUCACUAAUACAAGUUCGUCUUAAAUUAUGUUUUUUUAAUUACUUGUUUUGUGUAAGCUCAACUUUCUGUUCAUACAUAUGUUUUGAUUGUUUUUGUUGUUCUUUUUCGUAUUACUACUUUUGUUCAUAUUUUGAAUACAUAUUAUGGCCUUGAAUAUUUUAAAGCUAAACAAUCAGUGUUGGCUGGAGAGAGCUUUUACUCUAUGCUUGCCAGCGAAGAUCACAGACAGCUUUAAAACAACUUUGGCUACGUUUUGUGACUAUAUGUCUAUGCGCUGUUUACACGCGGCAACUCAUAACAUGUAGGAUAAAAGGCAAUGAGGAAAGGGUGGUCGUCCGUGCUCCGUCUACGCGAUGUUUUUUCUCGUUUACCUUAGUAAAUUAGCUUUUAACGGCGAUUGGGUACAGGAACUUUUGCUUCGUGUAAACGAAACAAACAACAGCAAAACAACAAAAGUUGCCGUUUUUAAACUCUGUUUUAUUGGUAUUAAUGCCUAGAAACCUUAAAAAGCUUGGAAUGCGAGCCUCUGAGGUGUUCAACUUUGAUUUAACUAUACGUAUUUAUAUUUUCUUCGACUUUUUUAAGCUCCCUACCUGCAUGCGUAUAUGUAUGAUUUUUUUUUAACUUCUGUGCAUAAGGCCAAACACAACAUUCCACAAUGCACUUGUCAUUUGAUUAACGAAAUCGUUAAAGAAAAACAAAACAAAUAGUCGCUUUAUGAUCCUUUAAAUGCACUAGCAGUGCGGCAAAUGUCUUCCUUCUACAUAUAUAGUAUUCAAAAUAACCACUAUAUAAAAUUAAUAUACAUACAUAAACAUUUUUUGUAUAACAGAUAUUUUUUAAUAUUGUAUAUUACCAAAUAUGUAUGUCUUAAUAUAUUACAAAGUUAUUUACAAAUUAUAUACAUAUACAUACAUACAUCAAAGCAUAAAGACUUUAAGGAUCAUAAAUGCAUACACAAUAUUUUCCAUUUUGUAUAAUUUUCAAAUAGGUUAAACUUUUUCAAAGCCUUAUGCCUCAAAAGAACAUUUUAUUUACAUAUAUAUGUAUAUGUAUUUCCUUUUUCUUCGGUCUAUUUAAUGGAGUAUGGCAUACCUAGAAAAUGUAUGUAAUAUGUAUAUUUAUGUAUGUAUAUGCAAUCAGCGGAUUUCCAAUAUGUCAUAACGAGCUAUAUUGUCAUAACGGUGAAAAAUAUUUCUAGCUGAUUCAAAACAGUCAUACGCAACGUAGACUGAGAACCCGUUUUCAAGGUUCAAGAACUUUGGUUAUUAUUGAAAGAACUUUGAUUACUAACCAACGUUCAACUAUUCUACAAAAUGAGACUAACUCUCUAGCCGAGUACUGGCCAGUGAGAGCAUCUAGCCUGUGUGCCCACAUACCAGUGACAGUCAGACAGAGCUUUUACUAUACGUAGGUGGUGGGCAUCGCUUGACCGCGGGCAAAGUUCUUUUAAGCUUUCAAUGUAUUUUGUAAAAGCGCGCUCGGAGUAAAACCUCUAUCUGCCCAUCGCUGGUAAUCUAUAGAAAGCUUCAGAAAGCUUCUCGCGCGGAAUUAGUUCCGUUAGUGACGAGCGGCUUUUCCCUGUUCACGCCGCUGCUAUAUAUGUACAUACAUAUGUAUGUAUGUGUAUUAAAGAGGAAAUUUUAUCAAAUAGUUGAAAAAAGCUUGGAUGCAUAGUUAUAAGGGGCCAAUUUCGAUCUAAUCUUAGUUCGGAAAGAUGCCUUUGGUUUACACUGCUUUUCUUGAAAGAAGUGAGUUGAACUCCAAGCGUUUACUUAGGAAUUAUGUAGCUAAUACAUAUUUAUGUAGGUACAUACGUAUUUAUGUAGCCGCAAUCUAUAAAGCAAAAGCAUAAACCCGGUGUUCGUUUACUGCCAAUUUCGGCUGCCAACACACUUUUAUGAAUUAGCCGCUAGAAAGCUUUUUUAAGUUUUUAUACCACUGAUGGGCACUGUCUUGCUCGCGGCAAAUCUCUUUUAAAUUUCCUAUACAUUUUGUGUAGGCGCAUGCAGAGUAAAAGCUCUCUCUGCCCAUCGCUGAUACAGAGUAAAAGCAAGGCUACACUCUGCUCGUCAUUGGUAUACUCUCAGAGACAUGAUCGUGGAAACGAAUGAACCUAACGCGUGUGCAGAGCUUUUUUAAGCCUUCAAUGGAUUUUACCAGAAAGAGGUUAUACCUUGUGCGCGCCUAUAUGAAACAAGCACGACCAAAAUGAAGACCAAGAGCAAAGUCUUUUAAAGCGUUCUACAAAAGACGAACACAGCUUUGCUGAGCUUGCUAUAGACUGUACGAGAAAAUCGUGUAUAUCCUGUGUACGCCUGUAUAAACAAGAAGGGCCAUAACAUAAAUAGCCCGCGAACAAAGCUUUUUAAAGCUUUCUAUAAAUUUUAUAUAAACACGCGCGGAAUAAAAGCUCUGAAGAUGAUCAGUGGCGACUGAUUUAAAAUCACCGAUAACGCACAGCGUUUUCAAUUAAAAUAAAGGGAAGACAAAAUCACAAAUACAAAUGCGAAUUUUCGUAUAAAGUUUUAAUGUGCAAUUUUUUCCAACCUGAUUUUUUUUUAAUUAUUAUUUUUUCUUGUUAUUUAUUAUUGUAGCUUUAUAUACUAUAUUACAAUCUCAGUGCAGUGUAUUAGAAAAUGGCUUAAAUAUUUCAAUAGAUCGUUACGAGGGUACUUUUGUUUAUUUGUUUACAAAUUUUUGGCGUCCGUGUUUUUGUAAAAAUAGAGUUAGCCUUUUACAUUUAAGCAAAGUUAUAUUUAAAUAAAUAAAGUUUAUUUUUAGCUUUUUCUGCCGUUCAAUUAGAGGGCAAAUUGUAUAACUGCUUUUGCAGAUUAAAAAUGUUAAGUAAAAAUAUAAAAAUAAAAAAACAAUAACAAAGAAACAAAACACAAACACAAAUGUGGCCGAUAAAACAUAUAAAAACAAAUAUUUUUUGAACCACAAAAUGCAGUGUUUAGAAUAACAAAAGAUGCAGCAGAAAAAACUGGCAAAGACAGCAGCAAGAAAAAAGUAGUAUGCAACUGCAGAAAAGUAAGAAUAAAUACUUAGACUAAGUAACAUUUGUAGUAAUAGGAAAAAAUAAUGAAAGAAAUCUAGCGAAUAAGUCUAAAUUAAGUCAAAAUUCGAUUAUAAGGAUUAAAGUAGGAGCAGCGUAAAACACAGCAAAUAAGCAGAUCAAGUAGCGUAGUUGGAAAAUUGUGAACAAGCAGGAGAAUGGCUUCUGACCACGCAAGCAGCGUGGCAAGCAGCAAGGAAAGGCGAAAAAUGCGUGGAAUCGAAGUAUAAUAAGAAAAUGUAGUUUGUAGAAUGUAGAAAGUAGCAAAAGGUAGAUAGAAGCAAGCAACUGUCAUUCUUUUACUGGUAAAGUCGAGUUUAAAACGGUGUCAUCGCUAAAAAUCUAUGAAAAGAGUGCAGAUUUGCUCUUGAAGUUGGCUAAUGCUGCACAAGCGUAUAUACAAUAAUGUCGCAUGUUCUUUUUUUGCGCCAACUCUAAUGCUGCUUUCGGUGUGAUAUUGAAAUUAAUAAAAUACAAAAAUGGCAAACUCACUACGCAUACAUUCAUACAUACAUAGAAAGUCUUUGUAAUUAUUCAAAAAUGCAUAUUUCAUUAAAGGUGUGCACAAUAUUGUGACGAGCUGGUAGAAAAAAAAACGUUAGCUGAGUAAUUUCAUUUCAUUGGGCUGUGAAAUUAAACUUUGAAGGCAAUGAGCAUUUGUUUAUUUGCUCAGACUCAUUCUGUAUGAAGAACGAAAGUAUGAAGCCUCCGUUUUUGCUCAUGACCCAAUAAACAGGUGAAGUAAUAAAACCGUUUUCUCGCUUAAUUUUCAGGGAAAAUUUUCAAAUGAGGCAGUGUCAAAUCUUUCUUCUCGCCCUUAUUACUUCGUCUGAGGUGUUUUGCCAAAGAAAUUAUUCGACAUUAGUGUUCUGCAGGAAACUUUUAAUUUAUGCGCGUCCAUUAUAUCAGUCGUCACUAAGUGGUAUAUAGCAGACUUAAAAAACAGAAGAAAAAAUAUUAGAGCUCUCAUAAGAAAUCAGGGACCGAGAACAUGUUCCGGUUUUUUGUUUAGUUCUGCAGGAGAACAAUUGGCCAAUUUUUCAUUUUUUGUGCAAUAAAGUCUUUCGUUGACUUAAUUUGCAUUUCAAACUAAUGCGCGCCUAUGAGAAAAUGUGUUUUCGCGCUUCCAUUUCCAGAGAACAUUUGUUCCUGUUUCGUUCUCUGUCAGAAUGGUCCCGAGACUUUAGCUCGCAAAUUGUUAUUCGAGUAAAAGUUUCUUAGACUUUUGUUACCAUUUUGUUCUUUGCCAGAACGUUGCGAAGACCUUUUUUCUCUUCAAAAUGUUCACGAACGUAUUGUUUACAUUUUUUUUUGCUUCGGUAACAUUCUCCGGUGUUUUGUGCCUAUAUAACAUUCUCGACAGGUUUGUUCACACUUCCGUUCUUGUUCGGGAGGAAGGUUUUGUUCUUAUUUCGGUUUGGGUUUUUUAGCGUUAUUGGGAACAAAACUACGAGAACCACAUUUUGGUUGCGAUCAUACCUUUUCUUCUCAAGGCAAGGCGUCAUAAGCAGACACUAGGAAGCGAAAAGUACUCGCCGUUUUUGGGCAUUGAACAUGCGAACAGUACCAGGCUAGGAGGAUGUUGGGGAGUCAUAAAAGGAAAGGAUUCAAAAUUUAAAAUUUGUCCAGAAUAUUAUCGUGUUUUCACGAACACCAUAUUGCGCAAUUGUCAGCUGACUUUGUGUGCGUGUCUGAAUUUGAAUGCAACAGAAAACAAAAAUUUUCUCAAUUUCAUGAAUACGACUCGCAUUUCCUUGUUGGGAGUGGUUUCUUAACCAGAAGAAUGUGCCACUCGCACAUAAACAAAACAAAAGAAACAGUCCAAAACGAUAAACUUGAAUAAAAUACUCGUUAGAAACAAUAGAUGAAACAGCAUUCAAAGAACGCGUUCAGCUUGUAUUUGGUAUUUUACUAAGGGUCCCAAAAACAAAAAAAAUCCAAACGAAAUCAUAAGCCUCAGUGUGACAGUAUUUGGUUUUGAAAUUCAGAGCAAUCGUGUAGAUAGUUGCGAUUACAAAAUGGUGAAAUGGUGAAAAUGUAAUUUAAUUACUUUUUUAUUUUCCAAAUUUGAAAGUACUUGGUCGACUACUACUUGCUUAAGAAUGAACUUUAGUAUGCAUUUUAUAGAAAAUCACUUCAUCGCAAGAAGUUAUUGGUAGUGGCCUUUAACUCAAAAUUUCUUUCUUUAAAAAGUACCUGGUGGAAGUGGUACUGCCAAUGAAGGAACCCAGCGCUUAUAAAAAAAAAAAACUACUCAGCCGCAUAUUCUUUACUUAAAUACAGCUAUAUAUUUCGAAAUUUAAGUACUUUACUGAAAUUUGAGCUAUUCCGAUAUCCUUACACAUGACAUACAAUGUAUGUACAUUCAUAUCGAGCCCUAUCCGCCAAAAAGAGGUAGCAACAUUUCUUUUUUCAAUUUUAUUUUUGAUGCAGAAAUGCAUUUAGAUGCUCCAGGAGAAUUUUUGCAUCAAAAAAAAUAAAAUUUCGAAAAAAUGUCGCUUACCUCUUUUUGGCGGUUAGGAGUCGAUAGUUAGACAUGCAAUAAUGCUACGCUUUCUCUUUAGGUAUUGUCAGUCUCUAUAGCCGCCUUCUAAUUAGAAACCGGAAUUCAGUAAAUUUGUAGAAAGAGUGCACCGAAGAGACUGCUUGGGGCAGCAAAUAAUAAGAACUUUAACGGCAAAUGCGAAAAUUAAUAAGAAAUCUGCAUAGUAAGAAUUGUGUGAAACCAUUUUUGGAAUAUGGCCAAUUUCGCACAUACAUACAUGUGUGUAAAUACAAUGGAUACCAUAUGUAUGUAUUGAGGUAAAAACACAGAGAAUUUGUGAAAAUUUCAAGAUUGUUAAAAAGAUGAAAAUGCAUGCAAGGUUAAUUACGAGUAUAUAUGUAUGUGAAGAGUGACAGUAUGUAGUCUAUACAUAAGUAGUACAUAAAAAAAAUCUCUGUAAAUGGAUAACAUAGAAGUAAACAAAAAAACAAACAAAAAAUUUAAAUGAAAUAAAAACAAAAACAAAUUUAAAAAAAGCGUGUAAAGUGCGCACACGCAUUGUUGCUUGAUGCAUUUGAUUUAACUUCUAAUUUGCAAAUGAACGAUUCAUGCUAAAAAUGCUUACAAACGUAAAAAGAAACAACAAAUCCAAAUAAAAAACCAUAAAUCUAAAACUCAAAA